rnacentral:rRNA from 1 species
GACGAACUGUUCUAACGUUAUUCGGAAUCACUGGGCUUAAAGGGCGCGUAGGCUGUUUGUUAAGCGGGGUCUGAAAUCCCUCGGCUCAACCGAGGAACUGGGCUUCGAACUGGCAGACUAGAGUGAAGUAGGGGUAAGCGGAACUUGCGGUGGAGCGGUGAAAUGCUUUGAUAUCGCAAGGAACACCGGCGGCGAAGGCGGCCUACUGGGCUUCAACUGACGCUUAAGCGCGAAAGCUAGGGUAGCGAACGGGAUUAGAUACCCGCGUAGUCCCUGAGCGGGCU